UUUGAGGUCUAUCCCGAUGGGGCUUCUCAGUAGCCACACAUCGUUGGAAACGCCUCAUAUAGUAACUUGUGGUUGCUUGACUCACAGGGCUGCUUGUGGUUAGGUCUGUGAAAGAAACUACAAGACAUAA